AGAGAUGGAUUGGUGCCUUCGGGGAACUCUGACACAGGUGCUGCAUGGCUGUCGUCAGCUCGUGCGUGAGAUGUUGGGUUAAGUCCCGUAACGAGCGCAACCCUUGUCCUUAGUUACCAGCACGUUAUGGUGGGCACUCUAAGGAGACUGCCGGUGACAAACCGGAGGAAGGUGGGGAUGACGUCAAGUCAUCAUGGCCCUUACGGCCUGGGCUACACACGUGCUACAAUGGUCGGUACAAAGGGUUGCCAAGCCGCGAGGUGGAGCUAAUCCCAAUAAAACCGAUCGUAGUCCGGAUCGCAGUCUGCAACUCGACUGCGUGAAGUCGGAAUCGCUAGUAAUCGUGAAUCAGAAUGUCACGGUGAAUACCGUUCCCGGGCCUU
rnacentral:rRNA from 1 species